UCAGGACGAACGCUGGCGGCGUGCUUAACACAUGCAAGUCGAACGAUGAUGCCCAGCUUGCUGGGUGGAUUAGUGGCGAACGGGUGAGUAACACGUGAGUAACCUGCCCCUGACUCUGGGAUAAGCGUUGGAAACGACGUCUAAUACUGGAUAUGACUGCCGGCCGCAUGGUCUGGUGGUGGAAAGAUUUUUUGGUUGGGGAUGGACUCGCGGCCUAUCAGCUUGUUGGUGAGGUAAUGGCUCACCAAGGCGACGACGGGUAGCCGGCCUGAGAGGGUGACCGGCCACACUGGGACUGAGACACGGCCCAGACUCCUACGGGAGGCAGCAGUGGGGAAUAUUGCACAAUGGGCGAAAGCCUGAUGCAGCAACGCCGCGUGAGGGAUGACGGCCUUCGGGUUGUAAACCUCUUUUAGUAGGGAAGAAGCGUAAGUGACGGUACCUGCAGAAAAAGCACCGGCUAACUACGUGCCAGCAGCCGCGGUAAUACGUAGGGUGCAAGCGUUGUCCGGAUAUUAUUGGGCGUAAAGAGCUCGUAGGCGGUUUGUCGCGUCUGCUGUGAAAUCCCGAGGCUCAACCUCGGGCUUGCAGUGGGUACGGGCAGACUAGAGUGCGGUAGGGGAGAUUGGAAUUCCUGGUGUAGCGGUGGAAUGCGCAGAUAUCAGGAGGAACACCGAUGGCGGAAGGCAGAUCUCUGGGCCGUAAACUGACGCUGAGGAGCGAAAGCGUGGGGAGCGAACAGGAUUAGAUACCCUGGUAGUCCACGCCGUAAACGUUGGGCGCUAGAUGUAGGGACCUUUCCACGGUUUCUGUGUCGUAGCUAACGCAUUAAGCGCCCCGCCUGGGGAGUACGGCCGCAAGGCUAAAACUCAAAGGAAUUGACGGGGGCCCGCACAAGCGGCGGAGCAUGCGGAUUAAUUCGAUGCAACGCGAAGAACCUUACCAAGGCUUGACAUACACCGGAAACGGCCAGAGAUGGUUGCCCCCUUGUGGUCGGUGUACAGGUGGUGCAUGGUUGUCGUCAGCUCGUGUCGUGAGAUGUUGGGUUAAGUCCCGCAACGAGCGCAACCCUCGUUCUAUGUUGCCAGCGCGUUAUGGCGGGGACUCAUAGGAGACUGCCGGGGUCAACUCGGAGGAAGGUGGGGAUGACGUCAAAUCAUCAUGCCCCUUAUGUCUUGGGCUUCACGCAUGCUACAAUGGCCGGUACAAAGGGCUGCGAUACCGUAAGGUGGAGCGAAUCCCAAAAAGCCGGUCUCAGUUCGGAUUGAGGUCUGCAACUCGACCUCAUGAAGUCGGAGUCGCUAGUAAUCGCAGAUCAGCAACGCUGCGCUGAAUACGUUCCCGGGCCUUGUACACACCGCCCGUCAAGUCAUGAAAGUCGGUA
rnacentral:rRNA from 1 species